GAUUCUACAAACAGGGGAGAGAGCCUCUGCUUCAGGACUUGAGCUGUUUCUGCCGCCUCUCCAGGGGCCACCUGGCCUCAGGACCCCAGACAGACACCGUGGGUUGGGAACCAACCUGGAGGAAGACUAAAAUCAGCCCCUGUCUUCAGGUCUACUGCGGUGGAUGAAGCCUCACGCAGAACAGAUACAGUUGCUUGGGAAGCAGGGGGCUGCAGACACAGUGUCUACCUUGAUUCUCCAAACUGCCCUAAAAAGAAUGUAGACUUUUGCAGAGGAGGAAACCGAAGCUUGAAGAGGAGAAACGACAUAUCCAAGUUCCCCAUGAACCUCCUUUAUUGGAUGAGAACACUGUUAUUGGAUCCUGCCCUGCAGGAGAAAACGCAGGCUUCCCCGGACGAUGGCAGCUACGUUGUUCUAGAGUCUGAUUGGAAGCAAAAGUCUUCAAGGUCCUAAAGGACAGUAAAGCCACAAAGUGGAAAGAACCUGGAUGCCUGACCUGACAUGUGGAAGGCCACAUGCCAAGCGUCUACAUUAGACUGUUGCAUAAGCAAGAAAUAAACAUCGAUUUUGUUGUUUA